rnacentral:siRNA from 1 species
CAUGCCCCAUGAGAUUAGGAUCG